GAGCACCUGUCUUUCGGUUAUACGAACAGCCACCCAGAGAGAGCAAUUAACUUUGUGGUUACUUUGAAGAUAAUGAGUCUGUGUUCGGUAGAUAGAAAUACCAAACCAAAGGGAAAAUAACGUGGGCUUAGGAAAAUAGAGUUUUCAGUUUGUCACACCUUACUUUAUUUCUGGACAUUUAUUUACCAUCAUAUGCCUGGUGGGGAUUAUGCCACCCAUGUGCAGAUAUUUGAG